UGCAAGUCGAACGAACUCUGGUAAUGAUUGGUGCUUGCAUCAUGAAUUACAUUUGAGUGAGUGGCGAACUGGUGAGUAACACGUGGGAAACCUGCCCAGAAGCGGGGGAUAACACCUGGAAACAGAUGCUAAUACCGCAUAACAACUUGGACCGCAUGGUCCGAGUUUGAAAGAUGGCUUCGGCUAUCACUUUUGGAUGGUCCCGCGGCGUAUUAGCUAGAUGGUGAGGUAACGGCUCACCAUGGCAAUGAUACGUAGCCGACCUGAGAGGGUAAUCGGCCACAUUGGGACUGAGACACGGCCCAAACUCCUACGGGAGGCAGCAGUAGGGAAUCUUCCACAAUGGACGAAAGUCUGAUGGAGCAACGCCGCGUGAGUGAAGAAGGGUUUCGGCUCGUAAAACUCUGUUGUUAAAGAAGAACAUAUCUGAGAGUAACUGUUCAGGUAUUGACGGUAUUUAACCAGAAAGCCACGGCUAACUACGUGCCAGCAGCCGCGGUAAUACGUAGGUGGCAAGCGUUGUCCGGAUUUAUUGGGCGUAAAGCGAGCGCAGGCGGUUUUUUAAGUCUGAUGUGAAAGCCUUCGGCUCAACCGAAGAAGUGCAUCGGAAACUGGGAAACUUGAGUGCAGAAGAGGACAGUGGAACUCCAUGUGUAGCGGUGAAAUGCGUAGAUAUAUGGAAGAACACCAGUGGCGAAGGCGGCUGUCUGGUCUGUAACUGACGCUGAGGCUCGAAAGUAUGGGUAGCAAACAGGAUUAGAUACCCUGGUAGUCCAUACCGUAAACGAUGAAUGCUAAGUGUUGGAGGGUUUCCGCCCUUUCAGUGCUGCAGCUAACGCAUUAAGCAUUCCGCCUGGGGAGUACGGCCGCAAGGCUGA
rnacentral:rRNA from 1 species